GAUGACAAGUCACUUCUUUGUGCAAUGGACCCUGCUGAAUCCCCCAGCCAAACUGCCGUGUCCUGGGCGUUGCUAAGGGAAGAGCCAGAUGUAGCUGUUACAAGAAACUUGACUGGGCUAUUGUGUGCAUGGUAUGACACCAUUCCUCUUCCUGGAGCCAAAAGAAAAGACACAAUUAAAGAACAUUAUUUCUCAGACCACA